rnacentral:rRNA from 1 species
UACGUAGGGAGCAAGCGUUGUCCGGAAUCAUUGGGCGUAAAGCGCGCGUAGGUGGCCUCAUAAGUCCGCUGUGAAAGUCAAAGGCUCAACCUUUGAAAGCCGGUGGAUACUGUGAGGCUAGAGUACGGAAGAGGCGAGUGGAAUUCCUGGUGUAGCGGUGGAAUGCGCAGAUAUCGGGAGGAACACCGGUGGCGAAGGCGGUUCUCUGGGCCUUACCUGACGCUGAGGAGCGAAAGCGUGGGGAGCGAACAGG